CCCGCACAAGCAGCGGAGCGUGUGGUUUAAUUCGAUGAUACGCGAAGAACCUCACCCAGGUUUGACAUGCACGUGGUACUGAUCCGAAAGGUGAUGGACCCUUCGGGGAGCGUGCACAGGUGUUGCAUGGCCGUCGUCAGCUCGUGCCGUGAGGUGUUGGGUUAGGUCCCGCAACGAGCGCAACCCCUGUCGCCAGUUGUAUUUUUCUGGCGAGACUGCCGAGAAAACCUCGGAGGAAGGAGGGGAUGAUGUCAGGUCAGCAUGGCCCUUACGCCUGGGGCUACACACACGCUACAAUGGGCAGUACAACGGGCAGCCAAGCCGCGAGGCGGAGCUAAUCCCAUCAAAGCUGUCCUCAGUUCGGAUUGCAGGCUGCAACUCGCCUGCAUGAAGCCGGAGUUGCUAGUAACCGCAGGUCAGCACUACUGCGGUGAAUACGUUCCCGGGCCUU
rnacentral:rRNA from 1 species